GUAUUUUAAUGUGUUCUUCCCUUUCGUUGCUCAUAUUUUCAAUUUCUAUUUCGAAAUGAAAUUCCAUGGUGUGAUACCUAACUAAGCCAUACUCACAGUAGACCCACUGAAAUCAAUUCUUACUUAAUCCCAAUGAGUUUACUUUGAGUAGCAUUGGAUACCACCCUACGUUUCUAAAAAAGAAUUUCACAUCUUUUGGAUGUUACAAACAUCUGGCACCAUAUGUACAUACAAUAAAUUCUACUUAGGUGCCUAUUUCUAAGACAUUUCUUCUGAUUUGAUAUUAAAUUCAUUUGUAUUAGUGAGAAUCUUAUGGGGGUGGGGGUUUAUGACAAGUGCUACCAAUCUCAGAACUGCUCAAUAAUAUUUAGAGCACUGCUUUAUUAACUAAGUGUAUUUUAAUGAAGUUAUUUUGGGCAAUAAAAUACUGUUCAUUGAAAAAUGUUAUAUAUUUAUGACAGGGUGGAUUGAUUUAAAUCAAAUCGAUUAAAAAAACGAUUUAAAUCACUAGUCAGUAAGACUUGAUUUAAAUGAUUUUUUUUUUUAAUAGACAGACUCAUUCUUGCUGGUAUAAUCUUAAUAUUUACAACCAGAUGAAGGCUACAUUUUUGGAAUAAUAAAUUUUCAGCGUAGUUUUUACAGUUAUAUAAAAAAUUACUGAUUUGGUUAUACUAUUAGAAAUACAUUGACAGAUAAUUAUGAAAUUAUUGUGAGGUUUAAUAAGUUAACUGUUUAUAUUUGGACAACUUUUCUGCUGUACUUUAUUGGAAGGAGAAAAAUAAUCAUUUCCUUAAUAACAAUUUAAACAAUUUAUUUAACUAAAUCAGUAACAUUAUAGCAUAUGUAUCCAUGUUCGUUAACUGAUGUGGUUAAACAUUGUUGUUGUUUUUUUAAAAAAAGCUUAGACUGAGUUUAAGCAAACAUGAAAAACUUAAAACAAAUCCUUAUUUCCUGAUGAAUAACCUUUGGACUAUAAUGUAACUUAAAUAGAAAACUAUCUUUAGAAAGAUUUUUCCACCAAAAGCAUUUUAUUUUUAAAAUCCAAUUUAAAUUUUAAAAAAUCUGAUUUAAAUUUUAAAAAAAUCUGAUUUUUUAUUUUUAAAAAAUAAUAAUUGCUUUUUAUUCACCCUGAUUUAUGAUACUUUAUAUAAAACAAAAUUCAUAAUAGUAUAAAAGUGUAUAUUUUCCUUUCAGUGUUAUAAUUGAAAUGUGUAUGAAUUUUUCGGUAGUUUAUUAUUUAAAUUUUUUUUUGGUUUUUUGUUUAUUUGUAGUCAAGGAGAGAAUAAGUUUCUCAUAAUCCAAUCCAACCAGAUCAUUUAACUUAUUUAGAAAUGUUUUUGAGAUGUUAUUUUAUCUUAAUGCAACUCUGUUGUGUAACAUUUUAAGUAAAAUCUAGUUACAAUGUUUUUGUUUCCCACCAUCACAAAAUAAGACACCUUCUUUGCUGCCCCAGGACCUCAAAAUACCAACUGGCUCCAGUUUUGAUAAAGUGAAGGUGAUACCAAGCCUUUGAUGAGUUCUAAGCAGAACUAGAUUGUAAUCCUUUCCUGGUUAAAAAAGGCUCUCAAGUUAACCACACAGAUAACAAAUGUGUGAUUCUUUCAGUACCAGUUCUCUUAUGUUUUCUAUUCUACAGACCCUUUGGGAAGUACCGGUAAACAAAUCAAAAAGAUGAAAGUUCGAGGCCCUUAAAGUGUUACAAUGAAUCAACAUAACCACUCAGAAAACUAGCAAAAAGACCUCUCUAUUAAGCUACCAUUCUCUAAAUGGUUUAUUAAAAUCUAAGGCGUUAUAAAAACAUUAAGGCAUUAUAAUCUAAGGCAUUAUAAAAACAUUAAACAUGUCAUCUAAUGGCUGUAUUUUAUUACUAUAUUCUGCAAUGCCGUGGCUGUUACAAGCAUAUAUCAAAAGCCCAUUAGAUGCUGCACAAAACAAAAAUAGUGGAAACCUAGUGUCAUUCUGGGUCUACCAACUAUCAAAAACACAGACAAAGUAAAACUCUACCUCGUGAAACUUAGUAAAUGCAGCCCAAACACUGGGGAAAUUAUUCUGGAAAAAGAUCAGGGUUUGGGGGCAUAAUGGUCUCACAAAACUGGGUCCUACUGCUCCUUUUAAAGAAGGUGUAUCAUUCACCUGUCCCAUGCAACUUAUUAUGAAUAAGGUCACACAAAUAUUUCAUUUCUCAGUCAUGCACCUACAUUACUUUCCCAUUGGUUGCAAUUCAUUCUGUGCAAACUAGUCAUAUGUUACAGUUGCCUAAAGUCACCACUAAUACAUGAAAAAGUAUUUGUGCAAACAAGCCAUGCAAGUCAAUGGUUGUGUUUGGUUAUCACGAUAAACACAGAGUAUUGGUUAUUAAACUGGCUUGUUUUAACAGCCAUGGGUUCAAAGCCAUGUCCUAAACCUGGCUAAUCUAAAACCAAAGCAGAAGUUUCUGAUCGCCUAGUGGAGUGGGAAAGCUCUUGCGGGGUGUGUGGGUGUGUAGGUUAUUCUCAUAACUGUAAACCAUGAAUUAACAUUAUGUCAGAAUGCAAAUAAUAUCCAGCAGAAAUGAAGUUCAACAACCCAGUGCAGAUAGUAUGUGGGAAAGGAAUGCCUCAUCUAAUACAAUGCAUUUCUGACUCUUUAUUCAUCACACAAUUUACGCACGUUAGCAUUUUCAUAAUUUGUCCACACUUUUCAUAUAACUGGCUGCUACGGUAGGGCAUUCACAUUAUUGUGAGGCAGAGAGAAAACAGGCAAAUAAAUCAACUGCAAUGACUAUGGUAGGGAACACAGGGUUCAGCUCAAUUCAGAAGCCUGAUAAUGUGCAUGUUUAUUGUUUUUAAAAUAUUGUACAUCCUUCCUCCCUAAGAGCUGUGUACAUUGAAAACAAUAUGAAAUAAAGACAAGCUAUAGAAAACAGUAAAACUCACAGCAGCCCAUCCAAAAUUAAGAGGUCUCAAAACCUUUAUUAAAAUGAAAUGUUUUAACUGUCCUAUUGAACACAAGCAGUGAAGGAACCAUAGAGAGGAAUGGGUCAGUGCCUUUGGCUGUUAACCAGAAGGUUGGUGGUUUGUGUCCACCAAGGGAUGGCUGUGAGAGGAAUUUCUGCAUUGCAGAGGGUUAGACUAGAUGACCCUUGGGGUCUCUUCCAAUUCUAACUUUCUAUCUCAUGAAGAAGAGUGUUUCAGAGGGCAGGAACCACCACAGAAAAUGCCCUUUUGUGCACUGUCGUGUGGGGUGGAGGAAAAAAUAUUUUUGAAUGGAUUUAGACACAGAAUCUGGCUUUUCUGACCCAAUCUAGUAUUGGAUCACCUCUUGAAUACAAAAGUUUUUGUCAGAACCUCUCAUGCAUUUUCAUGUUUUUUAAAAAAACCUGGAUAAUUAUAUGCAAAAUUAUACAUCUAUUAUACGCAUAUGUAUAUCUAGUAUAU